GUUUUGGUUAUGGCUCAGAUUGAACGCUGGCGGAAUGCUUUACACAUGCAAGUCGAACGGCAGCAUAGAGAGCUUGCUCUCUGAUGGCGAGUGGCGAACGGGUGAGUAAUAUAUCGGAACGUGCCUAGUAAUGGGGAAUAACUAGCUGAAAGGUUAGCUAAUGCCGCAUACGACCUACGGGUGAAAGCAGGGGAUCUUCGGACCUUGCGUUAUUAGAGCGGCCGAUAUCUGAUUAGCUUGUUGGUGGGGUAAUGGCCUACCAAGGCGACGAUCAGUAGCUGGUCUGAGAGGACGAUCAGCCACACUGGAACUGAGACACGGUCCAGACUCCUACGGGAGGCAGCAGUGGGGAAUUUUGGACAAUGGGGGCAACCCUGAUCCAGCCAUUCCGCGUGAGUGAAGAAGGCCUUCGGGUUGUAAAGCUCUUUCGCAAGAGAAGAAAACUUACUAUCUAAUAAAUAGUAAAUAUGACGGUAUCUG
rnacentral:rRNA from 1 species